AUUGAACGCUGGCGGCAUGCCUUACACAUGCAAGUCGAACGGUAACGGGCCUUCUGGUGCCGACGAGUGGCGAACGGGCGAGUAAGUCAUCCGAACGUGCCCGAUCGGGAGGGGUAAAGAGCCCAGCGCUAUCCUAAUACCUCAUACGUUCUACGGAUGAAAGCAGGCGGGCGCCCGGCCUUGCUCGGACGGAGCGGCUGGUCGCUGAUUGGCUAGUUGGUGGGGUAAAGGCUUACCAAGCCGACGAUCGGUAGCUGGUCUGAGAGGAUGAUCAGCCACACGGGGAGUGAGACGCGGCCCAGACUCCUACGGGGGGCAGCAGUGGGGAAUUUUGGACAAUGGGCGAAGGCCUGAUCCAGCAAUGCCGCGUGAGUGAUGAAGGCCUUCGGGUUGUAAAGUGCUUUUGUCCGGAAAGAAAACCUUUCUUUUAAUACAGGCGGGUGAUGACGGUACCGGAAGAAUAAGCACCGGCUAACUACGUG
rnacentral:rRNA from 1 species